UACGAGGGGGGCGAGCGUUGUUCGGAAUUAUUGGGCGUAAAGGGCGCGUAGGCGGUGCGGUAAGUCACCUGUGAAACCUCUAGGCUCAACCUAGAGCCUGCAGGCGAAACUGCCGUGCUUGAGGGUGGGAGAGGUGCGUGGAAUUCCCGGUGUAGCGGUGAAAUGCGUAGAUAUCUGGAGGAACACCGGUGGCGAAGGCGGCAUCCUGGACCGACACUGACGCUGAGGAGCGAAAGCCAGGGGAGCAAACGGG
rnacentral:rRNA from 1 species